GCAGGCUGCAACUCGCCUGCAUGAAGCUGGAAUUGCUAGUAAUCGCGGAUCAGCAUGCCGCGGUGAAUACGUUCCCGGGCCUUGUACACACCGCCCGUCACACCAUGAGAGUCGGGAACACCCGAAGUCCGUAGUCUAACCGCAAGGAGGGCGCGGCCGAAGGUGGGUCCGGUAAUCGGGGUGAAGUCGUAACAAGGUAUC
rnacentral:rRNA from 1 species